GAGAUGGUUUGCACGAUUUUUACCUGGCAGACUGUGUAAUUUACAAUAUUUUCUCGUGGCAGCUAAUUUCAACGGCACUGCCCAGAAGAACAAAAUGUUCCCAGUCAUUCUCGGUAUCUUGUGGCUGUGUACACGGAUCUUUAUGUCAAGCCAAGCGAAUACCCAAGUUUGUGGCAAAGUAGUUGACAACACACUAAAAAGCCCUGGAUAUCCAAACGACUAUCCAAACAACACAGACUGUUUCUAUGUGAUUCCUAUUCCACGUGAUAUGGACAUGAACAUUACAUUUAAGGAUUUUUACAUAGAGGGUGGUCCGUCAUGCAGGUAAAUAACAGUCUUCAGAUUUCCUACUCCACAAAGUAGGUUAAGUCUGUAUACGAGCCAAAUGGCCCAUCAGGCCGGAGCUUAGAUUAGCUCAGCUA